rnacentral:misc_RNA from 1 species
UUGUUGUUGUUGUUGUUGCCAUUACUGUGAUUGGUGGAAAAGGGUCUGAUAAGGAGCGUGAAAUUGGAUUUGUGAGGAGAGAAGGAAUACGUAUGGGAUUUGGAAGAAAGAUUGGAUAGGAUACGGAAAUGGGAGGAUUUUGGGAGUAAGCGAGAAAGCAUCGCUAGACGGAAGAAGAGACAGAGACUGAGGGCGGGUUUUUUUAGUCUGG